UCGAUUUGACUCACAUAUAAGAAGACGUGGACAGAGAGGAAGGGGAGGGCAAGGUGUGAGAGGAGAGAGGAGAGGUUGAAGUAUAGGGUACAGACAUAUUUCUAAUGAAAUCAGAGCCACCCUUAUUGCCCAUGUCAUAAAUCAAGGCCUCUCCUUGAGAGAAGCUGGGCAGAGAGUUCAGCCCAAUAUAAACAGAUCCACGGUGGCUUCAAUUAUCCGCACAUUUCAGAGGGAAAGACGAAUUGAAGUUCGACAACAUUCAGGUGGACGAAUAAGACUAUUUUCAAUUGAACAAGAGCACACCAUUGUUGACAUGGUGGUCCAGAACAACCCCCUCUGCCUCAAAUAAAUUCAGCAAAGAAUCUUCCACAAUAUUCACCAAUGCAGUCUCUCCACAAUUGAUCGUGUUCUAAGGAGAAUUGCCAUCCAAAUGAAGCAGAGAAUGUUGGAAUUGGAUAGCAGUGCAACUCAUUAUGAGUACCUAUAUAUUGAUGAAGCUGGCUUCAAUCUUCCAAAAAUAAAAUGAGAAGAGGAAGAAAUGUGAUUGGCCAUCGUGCCACAGUCAAUGUCCCUGGACAACGAGGAGGCAACAUCCCUCUGUGUUCCGAGAUUUCUACCACUGGUGUUGUGGCAAACAAUGUUGUCUUGGGGCCAUACAACACAGAAAGGCUCCUACUUUUGAAACUUGCUCAAUUAAAUCCUCUUUCUGCAGGGUGAUGGGAGCAAAUGGAGCGGAAUUAUGUAGUUGUUUGGGACAAUGUCCAAUUCCACCAUUCAGCACUGGUGUUAGAGGUUUGAUUCCACUAGUGUUCCUUCCGCCAUAUUCUCCUUUCCUGAAUCCAAUUGAGGAGUUCUUCUCCACUCUGAGGUGGAAAGUAUAUGAUCACAACCCUUACAACAAACUAAGUUUUCUUCAAGCGAUGGAAAAAGGCCUGUGAAGAAGUUGAGGCACAAGCAUGUCGAGGAUGGAUCCAGCAUUCACAGCAUUUGUUCCCACGAUGCAUGACUCGUGAAAGUAUAUGCUGUGAUGAUGAUGUCAUUCUCUGGCCAGAUGUAAUUGAGAGGCAGGAUCAAUAACGUUAAUUGAGUUAAUGAUUGCAGUACAUUUUUUAAUUUAUUAAUUUAUGUAUUUAUUUACAUAAUUAUAAUUUUUUAGGGCGAAAACUCAUUGUAAUACAACUGAACUCCUCAUUGAAGAAC